rnacentral:rRNA from 1 species
AUGACCGAUGACCGCUCUGUUGUUGAGCAGGCUCAUGAGAUUCAGUCGCUCACUAAAGAACUUGAGCAUCUCAAUUGUGUGUUACCGGAAAAAUUCAUUGCCGGAGGCAUCAUUGCCAAGCUUCCUGCUUCAUGGAGGAAUUUUGCUACCUCUCUGAAGCAUAAGAGGCAAGAGUUUACUAUUGUCAAUCUAAUUGGCACUCUUGAUGUAGAAGAGAAGGCGAGGGUAAAAGACACACGUGCUCGUUUCCAUGAGGGGAAUUCGAGUGCCAAUUUGGUACAAAAGAGAAAUUUCCAUACCCACAAACCCAAGAACAAAAACUAUGCGGGCAAAGGAAAAUUUGAUGGCAAGUACAAAGCCCCACAACCUGUCAACUUCAAGAAGAAGAAGGAUAUUUAUAAGAAGAAAGGAAAGUGCCAUGUAUGUGGCAGUGAAGAACAUUGGGCUUCAUCCUGCAAGGACCGCUGGGACAUGCGUCAGAAUGAGAACAAUAGCAAGACCGCUAAUGUUGUUAUUGGCGAUGUUGACAUGAAAGAUGUCGGGUCGCAAGAACUGCACCCGUGCUGA